GUCGGCGGACCGGCCGGCACGGGUCGGCGUAACGACGUAUGCAACCUACCCAUUACAGGGGGAUAACACUGAGAAAUCGGUACUAAUACCCCAUAACAUCCAGGGAGGCAUCUUCUUGGGUUGAAAACUCCGGUGGUAAUGGAUGGGCAUGCGUUGUAUUAGCUAGUUGGUGAGGUAACGGCUCACCAAGGCGACGAUACAUAGGGGGACUGAGAGGUUAACCCCCCACAUUGGUACUGAGACACGGACCAAACUCCUACGGAAGGCAGCAG
rnacentral:rRNA from 1 species